CUAGAGAUGCUGCCUGACCCGCUGAGUUACUCCAGUAUUUUGUGUCUAUCUUUCCUUUCUCGUGGUCUAGUUUGUUGUCUCCGGUGUCCUCGGCUGCGCUCCCUCACCUCAAGGUCACGGACAGGAAAUAAUGAAAUGAGGAAAUCAUCCUAUUUUUGCUUCAACAACCAGCGGCACGCUUUCCCAUUGUGACAAAGUGCCUUGAAAGACAUAUACCAUCUGCAGUAUUGGGCCUUUGAUGUUUUAAGUCAGGAUCACAUGAUGCAUCUUAACGGAGACAGAACACAGGAAAAAUAAUUCGCUUGACGAAGGGUCCCAACCCAAAACAUCACCUAUCCAUGUUCUCCAGGGGCCUGACCCGCUGGGUUACUCCAGCACUUUAUGUCUUUUUUUGUAAACCAGCACCUGCAGAUCCUUGUUUCUACAAAAAAAAGCUAGUGUUGCAUCAACUAGUAAUUCAGUGGAAAACAUUUAUGAAUUUUGAGAUGAACUGUCAACAUGAUAUCAACUCUAUUGAAUCUACCACUUCAGGGAAUUUGUGGAAAGCUAAAGGGGCUGUCCCGCUUUGGCGACCUAAUUGGUGAGUUUAGAUGAGUUUGAAAAAAUGACAUGUUGAAGCCCUCUUUUGACUAUGUAGAAGACCUCCUUCGACCUCCUUCGACUAUGUUGAAGACCAGCUUCGACUAACUACGACUAGCUACGACUAACUUCGGGAAAAUUGGACACCGAAUAGUGGAGAGUGAAGAUGACCUCCUUUGAUCUCCUUUGACCUCCCUUCGACUAUAAUGAAGACUAUCUACCACUACCUUCGACUACUUUUGACUACCCUCGAUUACCUACGACUAACAUGCCGAUCUACUACGACAAACCUACAAGUAAAAAAAGUAUCGAUUUUUCCCAUGGCAACCUUAUUUUACUCGCGGGCAUUUUUUAACAUAUUGAAAAAAACGCCGCGACCUAGCUGAGGCCUCGAGUACGCGGAGACCACUCUCGAGCAUGAAGGAGAGUUACAAAGACCUCCUACGAUCUCGUGUCGACCAUGCUGCGAGUAUGAGUCAAGGGCAUACCCACAAACGAAAGAGAUAUAUGUCUUGAAAGGUGACACUCGAAAGAAGAACAUUAGUGGGUCAUCAGACCAUUCAGUGGUGCAGCAUUUUAAAUAGUGUGGCUUCUUAGUACUACUCAGCCUUGGGUGUAAAGUAGUAAAGGCAAUGGCCAUUGAAUAUUAUAUCUAUUAACAAUAAAUAAACAAUAAAUAAACACUCAACUAAUCUGUCCCAUUUAUAUUAAUUGAUCAUUUAGAGCAAAGUUCAGGUGGUAGUGUUUGUUUGGGUCAUUUCUUUAAAUUGUAUUAUUUCCCUUAUGUAGACUUCUUCUGAUACAUUACACUAAAUAUCUACAGACACAUUGGCAAGGGAAUAGAAAGAACCCUGAUCCUUUAUGGUUCAGAGCUUCAAGUUCCUUAACAUUAACAUUACCAACUUAUCUUGGACCAUCCAUAUCGAAGCAAUGGCCAAGAAAGUACACCGACGCAUCUACUUCCUUAGAAGUCUUAGGAAGUUCAGCAUGUCCACAACAACAAACAUCCACAGAUGCACUGUAGAAAGCAUUUUCUCAGGAUGCAUCGCAGCAUGGUUUGGGAACAGCUCAAUCCAAGACCACAACAAAUUGUAGAGAAUUGUGGAUGCAGCCCACAUCAUCACACAAACCAGCCUCCCUUCCAUUGACUCCAUUAACACUUCACGCUUGCCUUGGAAAGGCCAGCAGCAUAAUCAAGGAUGAGUCGCACCUUGGCCAAUUCCUCUUUUCCCUGCUCCCAUCGGGCAAAAGGUAGAGAAGUGCGAAAAUGCACACCUCCAGAUUUAGGGCCAGUUUCUUCCCAGGCAAUUGAAUCAUCCUAUCAAUAACUAGAGAGCAUUCGUGAGCUACUAUUUACCUCAUUGGAGACCCUUGGGCUCUCUUUAAUCAGACUUUACUGGGCUUUAUCUUGCAUUAAACAUUAUUCGCUUUAUCAUGUAUCUAUACACUGUGGAUGGCAUGGGGUGUAAUGAUGUAUAGCCUUUCCGCUGAUUGGGUAGUACGCAACAAAAGCUUUUCAUUGUACCUAGGUACACGUGACAAUAAACUAAGCUGAACUAAACCAAUGAUCUGUCAUGGAUGAAUCACAUUAAAAUAACAGCCAAGACACCACCGUCUCUACUUGCUCGGAAGACAUCACACUGUUAGGAACAGCUCUGCCCAAGACCACAAGAAAUUGCAGAGAGUUGUGGA